rnacentral:rRNA from 1 species
GACGAACGCUGGCGGCGUGCCUAAUACAUGCCAGUCGAACGCAGUGGGGACGGGUGAGUAACACGUGGGUAACCUCCCAUCAGAGGGGAUAACACUUGGAAACAGGUGCUAAACCGAUACUGAUGGAUGGAACCGGGGAGCAUUAGCGAGUUGGGGAGGGAACGGCUCACCAAGGCCACGAUGCAUAGCCGACUUGCGAGGGUGAUCGGCCAACCUGGGACUGAGACACGGCCCAGACUCCUUCGGGAGGCAGCAUUAGGUAAUCUUCGGCAAUGGACGAAAGUCUGACCGAGCAACGCCGCGUGAGUGAAGAAGGUUUUCGGAUCGUAAAACUCUGUUGUUAGGGAAUCGGUAUCUAACCAGAAAGCCACGGCUAACUACGUGCCAGCAGCCGCGGUAAUAC